GAUGGUAUCUGUGCACUCUUUUGGUUCAACCAACUUACUGUUGUGAGUGAGACUUAGCUGUUCAAACCCUGUUAGGCAUUUUCCACUCUAGGGAAGAAAGUCGCUCUAUUCUAUUUUGUCCUCUUACUCCAGUGUUUCAGCUGGAGCUCUUCAAUCAUGCAUUUGUGGCAAAGAAAUGAAGUUGUGGAUCUCUUUCAUUGAUGUUUAGUAUUCCCUUUCACAUUUGAGUUGUGAUAAUAAAGUUAUCUACGAACAAGCCUCAUGAUUUCAUUUUACAUUUAUAGCAAUGGUUUGAUGAUCUUUUCCCAAAUGUCACAUUGAAGAAGAGAAACAUUAGGUUUUUGGAAGAGAAAUUGUAUCUACAGAAUCAAAAACAUCAUGCCGUUUUCUCACAAACCAAGAGCACCGAGAGGCGUUUUCCCCUGCCCGGCCUCAAAGUAAAAGAUCAACAUGGCAACCAUUGCGAGCCUCGAGUGCUUAAUCUCUGCCAAUUUCAGCCUCUCCAGCUUCUCAAAGUCCGGCUCAUAAACACCGUCGCGGUUUUUCCCGGCGAGACCCAACGGAUCGAAGAAUCUCCCACCGGGGUAUCCCUGAUCGCCGGUAUAGUUCGCGAAAUUCUCGGCGGUCUUCGACCAUGGCGUUGCCCACUCAACCGAUUGAGAAUCCGGGUUGAAGAAAUCGACCCAUCGUUUGCUCUCCACCCAACCCAUGAGAAGCAAUUGGGUUCCAAGAAGCGACCCGAACGAGAAGGGAGCGAUCGCGUCUGGCUGGGCUCCAGCUUCAAACCAUGCCACACCGCUCCAGGCCUGGCCGACGAAGAUCCCAAGAACCGCUGCCAUCGCCCAUCGGCCAUGGAUCAGCUCAGCCUCUCUGUACCAUUUCAGAAAAGCCGGGUCUUUCCCCAAACCCAAUGGGUCGAACCCGAAAUCUCCUGGUAGCCUGCGAAUAUCACACACAUUUGACUCAAUAACUGGGUAACAAACAAUUCGGGCUUUUCAUGCUCUCUUGAGAUUCAGCUAACAAAUUAGAACCAAAUGAGUAAUCAGGACCUUGAAUUAUCAUAAUCUAUUGUCCAAGCUAGUUUAUGAGAGAUAUGAAUGAAAAUUCAGCAUUGUUCAUGCUAGUAACUCAGAUAUAAAAGAGAAUAGACUUACGAGCCAUCGAGCCAUUCAGGGUCAAGGAAGUUGCCACCACCUUUAACGGCAGGGAUCCAAGAUUUCUUAGGCUGAGCAGCCGCAGCAGCGACAAUAAGAGUUUUCCUGCCAACUCUCUGAGCUCCAGUGCCUACGCCGCUUGCCAAUGCGGUGGCACCUCUCUUGCCUCCGGUGAGGAACGAAGAACCAAGCCCACUGAGGACAGCUCCGGAGACCGCCAUCGCCAUGAGAUCUCUAAUAUACUUGCUCUGUUUUUUUCUCUCAAGAUGUGGAGAAAUGAGUGUUUGGUUGUUGUUCUCUCUCUCUGUUUUUCGGAGCAGAAAGAAUCAAAGAG
rnacentral:sRNA from 1 species